CCACGUGUAUGACAGGUGUUGGAUGAGGUCGGAGAAGGACAUCGGCUCCCCCGGACCUGUAGUCACGGAUGGUUGUCAGUCACCAUGUGGUUGCUGAGGAGAUUCAAACCCAGGAGAUCAACCACUGUUUUUAGACUCUCAAAGCUUCUUCCAGAACCUCAACACAUCGACAAGAAAACAUAAAUUCAAAUGUUAAACACACA